UGGGGAAUUGUUCACAAUGGGCGCAAGCCUGAUGACGCAACGCCGCGUGGGGGAUGAAGGUCUUCGGAUCGUAAACCCCUGUCGAAUGGGACGAAAGACUCGCGAGUGAAUACUUCGCGAGAGUGACGGUACCGUUAAAGGAAGCCACGGCCAACUCUGUGCCAGCAGCCGCGGUAAUACAGAGGUGGCAAGCGUUGUUCGGAAUUACUGGGCGUAAAGGGCGCGUAGGCGGCCCUCUAAGUCAGACGUGAAAUCCCCCGGCUUAACCUGGGAACUGCGUCUGAUACUGGAGGGCUUGAGUAUGGGAGAGGGAUGUAGAAUUCCAGGUGUAGCGGUGAAAUGCGUAGAUAUCUGGAGGAAUACCGGUGGCGAAGGCGGCAUCCUGGACCGUUACUGACGCUGAGGCGCGAAAGCUAGGGGAGCAAACGGGAUUAGAUACCCUAGUAGUCCCUGAGCGGGCUGGCAAGGCGCAU
rnacentral:rRNA from 1 species